rnacentral:rRNA from 1 species
UAGUUUGAUCCUGGCUCAGGACGAACGCUGGCGGCGUGCUUAACACAUGCAAGUCGCGGGGCAUCGCGUGGUGUGCUUGCACGCCAUGGCGGCGACCGGCGCACGGGUGAGUAACGCGUAUCCAACCUUCCCCCCACCACGGAAUAGCCCGCCGAAAGGCGGAUUAAUGCCGUACGCGGUGCACAGUCGGCAUCCGCCGUGCAUCAAAGCCUUUGGCGGUGAGGGAUGGGGGUGCGUCCGAUUAGCUUGACGGCGGGGUGACGGCCCACCGUGGCGACGAUCGGUAGGGGUCCUGAGAGGGAGGCCCCCCACACUGGGACUGAGACACGGCCCAGACUCCUACGGGAGGCAGCAGUGAGGAAUAUUGGUCAAUGGGCGGAGGCCUGAACCAGCCAAGUAGCGUGCGGGAGGAAGGCCCGAUGGGUCGCAGACCGCUUUUGCGCGGGGAUAAAGCCGGCCACGCGUGGCCGUUUGCAGGUACCGUGCGAAUAAGGACCGGCUAAUUCCGUGCCAGCAGCCGCGGUAAUACGGAAGGUCCGGGCGUUAUCCGGAAUCAUUGGGUUUGAAGGGAGCGUAGGCCGCCCGAGCAAGCGUGCCGUGAAAAGCCGGGGCUCAACCUUGGCCUUGCGGCGCGAACUGCGGGGCUUGGGUGUCCGGGAGGGGGACGGAAUUCGUGGUGUAGCGGUG